CCGGCGCACGGGUGAGUAACGCGUGGGUAACCUGCCUCAUACAGGGGGAUAACAGUUAGAAAUGACUGCUAAUACCGCAUAAGACCACAGCACCGCAUGGUGCGGGGGUAAAAACUCCGGUGGUAUGAGAUGGACCCGCGUCUGAUUAGCUAGUUGGUAAGGUAACGGCUUACCAAGGCGACGAUCAGUAGCCGACCUGAGAGGGUGACCGGCCACAUUGGGACUGAGACACGGUCCAA
rnacentral:rRNA from 1 species